CUGGGCUCUCCUCUUGACUGCCCUGGCCAAACUCCACGUCGUUUUGCCGGUAGGUGGCCUGCCAAUGUGCCAGCGCCUGCCAGUGUGUUCCUCUUGAUGUCCAGCUGCCUCUGUGUCUUCUUCCGCCCAGCUGCCUCUGUGUCUUCUUCCGCCCAGCUGCCUCUGUGUCUUCUUCCGCCCAGCUGCCUCUGUGUCUUCUUCCGCCCAGCUGCCUCUGUGUCUUCUUCCGCCCAGCUGCCUCUGUGUCUUCUUCCACCCAAGUGUUCUUCACGACGUCCAGCCGCUUCUUGGUUCUUUUCUAUGAAAUGUUUUUGCUCAUUGUUGAAAACUUAAAGGCAAAAACCAAACCCAUCUUCCAGUUGUGGGAUAAAGCAUCUUCAUCGUCUGAUUCCAUUAUUUCUCAAGUGUGCUACGCGAUUGUGUUCCUGUUAGCUUUUACUUUCCUGUGAGUAUCAUACUUAAACCGAAUGCAUUGACCUGCCUAUGUUUCCAUGUUGGAUUUGUAUAUUUUGGAUUCCAGGGUUACAAAUGUAUCGCUUAUUCCCGGAAAUGAAGCAGGCUCUUUGACUUCCCUAUAGGAACAGCAUGGCGCACAGGCGUCGCGUGUGAAGGCCCCUCAUAGCCGUGAUUUGUUGAUCUGUUUUUUUUCAGCUUCAGCAGCGCUCCGUGAAGUGACAACCACGUCCCUCAAAUUCACUCUUGACUGUGUUUUUAUUUUCAUAUGUCGUACUUCUUACCUAGGCCUUCAUAUCACAGUCAUCUAAACUGAGAACAGAUCAAGGCUGUGGCUCACCAAAGGUAAAAACUAACUGGGCAAAGCAAAGAAGGAGAAACAAUUUGAAAACUCAGAGAAUUCAACUUGUGACUCCUUCUUCGCUUUGCCCACCUUUGCUGUUCUUGACCGUUCUUUGGUUUAUGCCUUAUUAUCUCCUGCUUCCCAGUUUUAAGAUUCCCUAAACAAAAUUAAAAAAAAUAGUGUGUCGAGACAUUUCCUUUAAAGUGAUUAAAUCUGAGCAGCAUUAACUAAAUGCUUUAAUAGUUACAAUUUUAUAAAUUCACUUUGUCUUAGAAAAUCCAUGUGGCUUCCUGCUGACCAGAGUGUGGCCCCUGGAAUACCAAGAGGAGAGCCCAUGUUGUGUAAUUAUGAACAGGGCGGAGCCCCUUCCCUAUUUCCUUUGUGAACUGGUCUAAACAUAUUUUUAUAAAUAUUUUAAAAAUAUCUUAAUAAUUUAAUUUUUAGUUUUUAUUUAUUUAUUUUUUUUGAUACAGGGUCUCACUCUGACACCCAGGCUGGGGUACGGUGGUGUAAUCUCAGCUCACUGCAACCUCUGCUUCCCGGGUUCAAGAGAUCUCCUGCCUCAGCCUCCCAGGUAGCUGGGAUUACAGGCGUGUGCCACCACACCCAGCUACUUUUUGUAUUUUUAGCAGAGACAGGGUUUCACCAUGUCGGCCAGGCUGGUCUUGAACCCCUCACCUCAAGUGAUCCCCCGCCUCAGCCUCCCGAAGUGCUGCGAUUACAGGCAUGAGCCCCCAUGCCUGGCUAAAAAGGACUGCUGCUGAAAAUACAG
rnacentral:lncRNA from 10 species